ensembl:lncRNA
CAUUGCCUGGCCCUGAUUCCGAGCGCAGCAGUGAGUACGGUUAGUACAGAAGGUAACGCUCUGGGGGGAUGAGCUCGGGCAGAACUUACAAUGCGGUGAGCUAAAGCAUGACGAGCGUUUUUACUCUUAGCUAAAAAAAAGAUGUGCGCUGGCGAGACAAAAGAGCCUACAUAUUAUUCCUAUUGAAAUGUGAAAAGAGGAGACUGUGGAAAAUACAUCCAAAACGAAAUAUUGCUGAUCAUUUUGUUAUAAAUGUCUCCCUGGAAGAUGUGGUCUCCAGGGGUUAAUUUGAUGCUGAUAAUGAUUUUACCACUUAAUACAGCACAAAACACAGACCUUCCUCCACCUGCCCUCAACACCAAUGACAGCAGCUCCCUGAACCAGAUUACUACACCGUCCAGCCUAACUGGCCAACCUGUUCAGCCCUACAUCAGUCUCCUACUCCUUGGUCUUACCGUGGGACUCUCCGGGAGUGUCUACCUUUGCAUACUGCGAUAUAUCUGCAUUGGCUGGUGCCAGCCAAUAGUGGUCACCCCAGAGUCGGAAGCUCUUGCUGGUUUUGUGUAGGUUACAGUGAUGUUGUGACAUUCUGUGCCCCGCUAUAUUGGUGACCCUGCCUUUUAAAAGCAUACUGAGGCAAAAGCCUUUUGAAGUUCACUUUGGUGUUGUGAAUGGACAUUAUAAUAUUUGGUCCCUCUGCAUACUGAGUCAAAUUAAUGCAUAAUAAGCCUAUUGAGGCUUUAAGUGCCAGGGCUACUUGAGUAGGUAUAUUCAUAAGGGCGGAGUGUGCUGCUUUAUGAUCCGAGAACUCAAUGUUUUCAUUCAAAAAGAACGCUUUGAGUUUGUAUAUAUGACAGAUAUCUUUGACACAUUUUUUGACAAAAAUGUCCAGAGAUUUAUAUUCAACACUCUUCUACCUGCCUGUGCGAAAUACGAAGCAGACUAAUUUUGGCUCUGGCUAUAGAGUCAUAACAUCAAUUAUGUAAGAAGCACUUCAUGGGAUUUUUAAGGCGUUAGAUUGUCAAAUGCAAUUAAUAGUGUAAAAAAUCAAGUGAACAUGUUCAUAUAAUUGGCAUGUGACAGAUUUAGAAGAGAUUGUCAGGUACCGAUAGAAGUCUCAGGGGAUGGGCUGUCUGGUUCGGCUGGUUGCCAUGGGCUACUGCCAUUGCUUGUUGCCAUGGAAAUAGUUCUACUAUUAUGCCUCUAGAUGGUGUUGUCCUCCAGAUUAUUGAGUAAGAAUGGCACUUUGAACAGUUGAAAGAGAAAUCAGAAGAAACAUUCAACAUUUGUUUUUAUAUGGUUAAAGGUGAAAUGUGAAUGUUAUAUUUAUGUGUAUUGGUGACUUUUUAAUAUUUAGAAUUUUAUGUAAACACAUUAAAUCAUUAUGAUUUGUUAUUUUAUUUGACAACUAUAUAAUCCAAAUGGUUUCCAUUUAUAAUUAA